ensembl:lncRNA
GUGUGUGUGUGUGUGUGUGUGUGUGUGUGUGUGUGUGUGUGUGUGUGUGUGUGUGUGUGUGUGUGUGUGUGUGUGUGUGUGUGUGUUUUAGGAAGAGUGAAUGAGUGUGGCAGUGUGAUAGAUUUCAAUCAUCUACCUUGGGAUAAAAAACAAAUGUGGCCUUUUAGUAUUUCCAACAUGGCCUCUUCUCCUUUAUGGUCACCUGCCACAUUGAUUUCAUUCUUCAUGAAUAUCCUACAUUGUAUCUGUGAGUACUGUAUACUGUACAUGUGCAUUUGUAUUAGUAGUCCUGAUAUGCCAUCUGAUGAGUGUGUCCACAUUUCUGCAAAACUGAAUAGAUCCUCUUUUUCUAGUCUUAUUAAGAAAUUUGACAAGUGUGCUGUCAAAUAACCAAUAACCGAAGUUAUGUUGUUCUACCCAGACCAUUACAGUUAUCUUUACCCAAACUACAAACUGACCCUCGUAUCCACUUCCCGAAGAGAAAGAAAAUAAAAAAUGACCACAGCCAAGAUGUUAUGACAGGUGAAUACUGAAGCCAUGAUAGAGUCUGUCUGACUGGAUAAACAUCAAUAUCCUCCGAAACAGUAUUUUUAGGGAGAAUGGUGUCCAUAUUUCAUAUACCUAAGAAAGUGCACCUUUUCCACAUCCUUGAACCACGUUGUUAUUGUCUCCAUCCUUGGCUGAAGCAAAUUGUCCUUUACAUAUAGGAUGUCGUGACAGUCCUGUACCUCCCAGUAAAGAUAAUCUACCAUAUAAUAGGGGAAUAAGUACAUAAAACAUUUGAUAACUGUAAUUGUGCCAACAAAAAAAACUGUGUGUUUUACAUCGUGUCUUUGCAUAGAAAAUGGAAGGUUCAAAAAAGAAAAGUAGCAUGAAGACAUUGAAUUAUCUAUAUUUAUAUAUCUAAGGGUGUAUGUUAUCUAUGUUAUAGAUAUAGAAUUAAGUGCAUCUUCAUAGCUUUGGCUGUGUGAUGCAAUGGGCCAACAAGUGCAAUAUUUUAGGAAUUUAUUUCUGUACAUAGUCCUUCUAGUACCGUAUACCUGCAGUUGAGUGACUGGUCUGAUGUUGUUGUUGUAUUGUAUGGUACUGCAAGCAUCACACUAAGUGUGUGUGUGUGUGUGUGUGUGUGUGUGUUGUGUGUGUGUAUGUGUGUGCGCACGCUUUAUCUGGGAUUUGCAGUGCGGCGAAGUAGUGUAAUGGGUGUUUAUUACUUAUUGUAUGCGUGUACCUUUUCUACAGAUGUAUUCAUGCACUAUAUACUGUUCCUGCUAGCUAUCUGUUGGUGAACUCGUACUAUACGUCAAAAUGCAGUAUUAUGGAAGAUAGAGAAAUUAGGGUAUGCCCAAUGCUGUACUGAUAUUAAGUCUAUGUUAUAAAAAAGGGAAAUAUCUCUACUCCAACAGGAUGUUGUCUGUGUGAGAUUAUUAUUUACCUGUACAUGAAUAGUAGCCAUUACCCUGCUGAGAUUGAAACCUCAAACAUCUCUACAUUCAAAUUCCCUGUCAUCUACUUCCUCAUCUGUGAUUAUGCAUAUUCAUGACCUCCACUAUUCAGCCCACUGGGCACAGACGUCAAUUCCACGUUGUUUUGUGCCUUCAAGUGCAAGCAAUGUACAAACUAUGUGUUUAAGAUUAUAGGAAAUAAACCAAUUGUAUUCA